rnacentral:rRNA from 1 species
GACGAACGCUGGCGGCGUGCCUAAUACAUGCAAGUAGAACGCCGUUGUGAACGGGUGUAUAUCGCGUAGGUCUCCGUCUGGUCGCGGGGGAUAACCAUAGUCAACGAUAGCUAACACCGCAUCCUACCAGAUGGAACUCCGCUGUAUUAGCUAGUUGGUGGGGUAACGGCUUACCAAGGUGACGAUACAUAGCCGACCUGGGAGGGUGAUCGGCCACACUGGGACGUAGACACGGCCCAGACUCCUACGGGAGGCAGCAGUAGGGAAUCUUCGGAAAUGGACGGAAGGCGGACCGAGCAACGCCGCGUGAGUGAAGAAGGUUUUCGGAUCGUAAAGCUCUGUUGUAAGAGAAGCGGUAUCUUACCAGAAAGGGACGGCUAACUACGUGCCAGCAGCCGCGGUAAUUC